rnacentral:rRNA from 1 species
GAUGAACGCUAGCGGCAGGCCUAACACAUGCAAGUCGAGGGGCAGCACAGAGACAGCAAUGUUUUGGUGGCGACCGGCGGACGGGUGCGUAACGCGUAUGCAACCUACCUUUAACAGGGGGAUAACGGAGAGAAAUUUCCACUAAUACCCCAUAACAUCGAUCAAGGCAUCUUGAUUGGUUGAAAACUCCGGUGGUUAAAGAUGGGCAUGCGUUGUAUUAGGUAGUUGGUGAGGUAAUGGCUCACCAAGCCUACGAUACAUAGGGGGACUGGGGGGUUAGCCCCCAACACGGGUGCUGAGACACGGACCAGACUCCUACGGGAGGCAGCAGUGAGGAAUAUUGGUCAAUGGGGGCAACCCUGAACCAGCCAUGCCGCGUGCAGGAAGACGGCUCUAUGAGUUGUAAACUGCUUUUAAACAGGGAUAAAGCACAGUAUGUAUACUGUGUUGAAGGUACUGUAAGAAUAAGGAUCGGCUAUCUCCGUGCCAGCCGCCGCCGUAA